AGAGCGAAGAGACAGAGGCAGAGCAACAAGACUUAGGAAAGAAGUGGACAGAUGGCUGUAGCAGUGAUCAUCAUCACUUGUGCGGUUCUAUCAAUCUACCUAUGCAUUUCUACACCACCUCUCACCAGAGUGCUUGGCUCCUGUUCUCGCUAAGCAAUGAGGUUAAUAUUUGAAGAACCCGGUCCAUCCAUGGUGCUCGCAGCAUCCGGGCGGAGAGGACAGAAUCCAUCUUUGAAGCAUCUGCUUCUACAUCCUAACCACAUCCCUGGCCUUUAUUUCUUUCCCACAAUGCAAGGGCAAUAAAGAUUAACCUAUCUACUUAAGUUUUGUAAUUAUAGUU
rnacentral:lncRNA from 1 species